AUAUUCCCCAGAAAAGGUAAGUUCAUGAUUAGGAAGGUGAUUUUCUCUGGGCAGGGCUUACCAGCAUCAAUGAGGAUGUGCUGAGCCCUGAGAUUUCCUCAAGUAUGGGAAAUCCAUUUUUACC
ensembl:snRNA Gm25605 predicted gene, 25605